UCGAUUAAGCUGUUCAUACGUCUAUGGACUUGCUCCAAAUUAACUUCUUUGUCCUAGUGAGAAAAGACAGGGCAGUCAGUCCCAAUCAGUUUCUCUUACUUUACUCAUAACCCAUGAGAAAUGGAUGGCUGUCUUGAAUGAACUAUCCUCCUGGUCUUCCUAAGGCAUCCAUGAAAGCAAGACACCAAAUCUGCUCUUCUCCAGGCUGAAUGUGGAAUGUCCUUUCAACUGUUCCUCAGACAGAUCUUGUCCUUGUGACCUGUGACUACUUUCUCAGAGAAGAUGGCAUUCCAUGAAUCAGCAUGACAAAGCAUCACCCAAAGAAUACUAACAUCAAAAACAAUGGUAUCCAUUUCAUGGAGAAAUUUGGGAUCAUGGAAAGCAUUGUACAAUUUUCCUAUAAGGAUCUAGCCUGCUCUCAUCUCCCCUUCAAUUCUGGGUCCAGAUCUCUGAACCUUUUCAGUGUCUAUUAGAGUGAUUGACUGAUGGACUAGGUCCAUUCAACUCAACAUCAUAGACUAAAAUAUAAUUAUUCAUCAUCUA